rnacentral:rRNA from 1 species
AUAUUGCACAAUGGACGAAAGUCUGAUGCAGCGACGCCGCGUGCGGGAUGAAGGCCUUCGGGUCGUAAACCGCUGUGGAGGGGGAAGAAUUUUUGACGGUACCCCUCUAGAAAGCACCUGCUAACCACGUGCCAGAAGCCUCGGUAAUACGUGGGGUGCAAGCGUUAUCCGGAUUCACUGGGCGUAAAGAGUAUCGUAGGCGGCUGGAUAAGUGACGGGUUAAAUACCAAGGCUUAACUUUGGACCUGCUCGUCAAACUAUUUAGCUAGAGUCAGUUCGGGGAUAUUGGAAUUCUUAGUGGAGGGGUGAAAUCCGUUGAUAUUAAGAAGAACACCAUGGGCGAAGGCAGAUAUCUAGGACUUGACUGACGCUGAUGAACGAAAGCUAGGGGAGCGAAC